ensembl:miRNA Gm24084 predicted gene, 24084
AGGAUGGAAUUUCAGACUUAUUACAUCUGAUUGAGGGUCUAAGAAAAGUUAGGUUCACCAGCAAUCAUGUCUUUGGCAUUCUGUCCAUCUCACCCACAGCCUUCCCUCUACACUUGGCCUGAGCUGAAGAAGAGGUG